UCUCGUUCCCUCCCCCGUCCCCCUUCGCGACGGCUGACGCACCCUGGGGCGGCGCCGGCGCAGCUGGAACUUCCAUAUACACCUUCCCGGUCUGCCAGUUUUCACCCUUCCGGCAGACGCAGGGCGGAGGAUCGCAGUCGCUUCCCCCUAAGGGAGCGAGCGCCCGGAUUCCUUAUCCAUUUUCGGAUCCCCGAUUCUACAUUCCUCCCCGUUUGCGUAGGAUGUUUUUUGUGUUUUUUUUUCCCUCCCCCUCCAAAUUUCCGGAUUACAGACCUUGGCUCGUCUAUGGUUUCCUCGGUUUACUGGUUUCACAGAUCUAACCGGUGUUGGAAAUUGCUGGCACGCUCUUCGAGAAUUUCACAGCCUGUCUAGGUGUGGAUAUGGAGAACUCUGCCCAUCCUUGUGGUGCUGGGAGCUCAGUGUAUCUGCAGCCUGGCUCUCCCUGCAGUAGCAGACAUUCAGGACAACAUAUAUUCCGCAGGGUUAUUGUAAAGCUCCUCCUGGGUGCUAUGUGGUCAAUGAGAUGGGCCACAACCUGCAAGCUGAUGGGGUAAGCCAUCUCCCUCAGUGCUUAGAGUUCCACAGUGAACGCUGACUAACCAGAAUGCCCCCAGCUUUACACCUUUUCUCCUCCUCUCCCCAUCACUCUUCAUCUGUGCUGGGCCCUCCAUGGCACUGCCUUUGAAGUUUGUUUACCCCCAUGGACUGCUGAGGAUGUCAGCUGGUUCUUGUGCAUCAGAAACCCUAAAGCCAGGCCCAGCAGAAGAUCUCCCAAAGGUGCUGAUGGUCAUCUUAACAUCAGUCUUCGAAUAGCAGUGGUUAGUUAUGUGAAGACCCCUCAAGACCUGGGCUUUACACACCACAGUCCUAGUAAGCAAUAGCAUCUAUUCUUAUACAAAGGAAGUCCAUACUGGGAGACUCUAAGAGCCCUGUCCAAAGCCACACUGGGGAACAUAGCAGCUGGGAUCCAAGCCCUGUUCUUUUAUGCCCUUUACACCAAAGGCUAUGCUUCCCAUAGCCACUAAAUUUUCCUCAUACGUGCCAGUGUGCCAUACCCCUGCCUGUUAGUCUUUCCCAACAUCUUCACCUGAUACCCCUUCCUCAUCCAGCUCUUAGCUUCUGUGUCCUCUCCUCAGAACUGUCUUCCUGAGCAGUUCUCAACUAGUAUUGCCCACCCACGCCUCCUCCCACUAGCAUAUUCCAUUGUUUCAUUUUUCUUCACAGCACUGACUGCUAUCUCAAAAUAUCUGUUUCGUAAAUUAUCACCUUUCUACCUUUUCUACAGCAGCAUUGCCCAUUGGAGCUCUCUUUAAGGAAAUGUAGAUCUACACUGUCCAACAUAGUAGCCAUUAGCUGCAGCUGACCAAUGACCAUCUGAAAGAUGGCCGUGACUAAGGAACUAAACUGAAUCUGUCAACAUUCCAGCCUUGUCCUGUAAUUGAACUGCUCGUGUUCCAUCGAAAUGGCCUUUUAACAGGAAGUUGGAAGAUACUCACUGCCCAGGUCAGUAAUAAUAAGUAGCUGGCCACUUUGUUCUGAAAAAUUUUUAUAAAUUAUUUUAACAUUUUUCCUAGGACCAAUUUUGACAACCUUCCACUUUUCCCGAAAUCUUUCCAUUUUGUUGUUUGUUAAUUUCUGGGCAUCUAGGCUGUGUCAGGAACUGGUAACACAGCAGGAAGGAGGUAGCAGUUUCCUUCUCAGGAGGCUGUCACAGCCUGUCAGUAUCUACAUUCAGUGAUUACCACGUGACACACAUAUUUGAACUUGUAUGUAUAUUUUUUUAAAAAUGAUAUUAUGUGCAUCUGCUUAUCUUUAUACGUGUUAAAGAUAUAUAUUUAAGAAAUACACGUAUCUUGGAGACUUUCAUAUCAGUACAUGGAGCUGGCUCAUGCAUUGUUACUGUUGUACAAAGUUCUAUAAUGAAAAUUACAUGUGUUGCUGAAUAUGUGUGUAGUGUUAUUUCCCUGUAUAAGUUUUUAGCUUGCCUUUGAUUUAUUCUGUUUAAUCAAAGUUGGUUUUGAAUUUUUGUCUUUCCAGAAAAUUAGUUCCUGGGUUCUUUUUUUCUUCUCCAUUUGAUUCAUUUAUUUGUGUUGUAUUUAUCUUUUCUGUUUCCUUAGGACUUUGAGUCAAAUGUGUAGUUCAUUUGUUUUCCUUAUUUAAUUAAUAGUGAGGGCAUUUUCAGGUCUUGAAAUUACCCUAGGUAUUAUAUUUGGACACCAGGCAGAACGGUUUCUAGAUAGAAGGAUCAAGAUUACAUGGGUCCUAAUGAGCAAAUACGUGGAGGGUCACAGAAUGUAUUCUUGAAUAAAGGUUUACACAGUGUUACCACACUCUGCUAGGCUGGAUUCCUGCCAAAAUGUUUUGAUAGUCACUCAAGAUUCUAAACUCUUGACUCACUCCCUAGGAUGUCAGCCUUUCAGAGUUCUUAAUAGCACUAUAUAUCUCAAGAUUGCCCCUUAUCAUCCCUUACCUACCCUCUUGUCUCAAAGCCUGGCCUUGUCUUCAUAGUCUCCUCUUUGAAGACAUCCUCUUGGUUUUUUUUACAAUUUCUUCAAUCAUUUAUUCACUCAACAGUUUCCUGAGCUAGAGAUGGAGUCAUUGUCUUAGCAACUGGGGAUAUAUAUGGGAAACUGAAAUAAAGACACCUGCUCUCUUGUUUAAUAUUUGUUCUAGGUGUUCAGUCAGAUAACAGAACAAGUUGGAAAAGACCUCUUUUUCUGUAUUUGUAUACAUAUGUGAUCAAAAUUUUAUUUAGAACUUGCCUUCUGUAUGACUUAUCUGGUAUAAAAAUAGGAUGAGACAUUUCAUUUUUAUUAUUCAGUGUGGUUCUCUCCAGUGUAAGUUUUCUGUUUUGUUGUUCUGUCAAAUAAGGUGGGAGCUAAGGCUAAUGAUUUGCCUGCACGGAUUACAUUGAGGAUCUGCUCUCAUAGGAGUCCUCUGAUGUUGAAUACAAUGAGGACUCCUACUGAAGGGCUUCUUGACAGUGGGUUCUGUGACUCCUGAAGCCUUCCUAAGACCCGAUUACAUUCUCAUGAUCCUGAGUAAGAGAGCUGUGCUUGAAAGAAACCUUUUCACACGGUCAUAGUCCCUUGGCUUUGGCCUUCUCAUAGCAUGACAGGUUCAUCUGGACCAACUACGCAAGACUGCAGAGGAUUAACCUGAGCAGAUUAACAGCAACCACUACAGUGAAAGCCCAACAGCACUCAGAAGGCCUGACAUAGCACAGUGAAGCGAGAUCCCUCUUUGUACACUUGCGCCAAAACUCGACUAGACCAGUUCUGCAUCAAGGAAUUCUAAAUGCAAUCAUGCAAACAGGAUUUUCUUAAUGAACCCCUGACAAACUGAUGUCAAGCACUCAUCUUGCAAACCAGGUGGGUGAAAAUAGUUCAUAGUUUUUUUUUUUGUUUGUUUUUUUGGUUUUUUUUAGAAAUAAUGAGAGGACCUAUCAUUUAUCCAAGUUAUAAAACUACCAUAUGUACAGCAGUAUGUGUACUCAGACUAAGAUCAACGAAGCAGAAGGGACCAAGACCAAAGCCUAUGCCCAAUAAGUACCAUGGAAAUUUAGUCUGUAAUAAGGAUGGUGUUUCCAAUAAGCAGAAGAAUCUAGUCAAAAUUUGUUGAAAGAACAUAUGCUCCAUACCAUAAUACACAAAGAAACUCCAGAUAAGUGCAACAAUCAGACAAAAACAAACAAACAAAAAACCCUGAAAUACAAGAAAGUAUGAAAUCUGCCUAUCUAUGAAUGGGAUAGGAAUAAAAACAGAUCUGAAAGGAAAAAUACCUAAAUUAUAUAACUUCUUUAUGAAAACUAAAUUUAAAGGUAGAAGAUAAAUGGGGGCGCCUGGGUGGCUCAGUCAGUUAGGCAUCCGACUUCAGCUCAGGUCAUGAUCUCACGGUUCGUGAGUUCAAGCCCCACAUUGAUCUCCGUGCUGACAGCUCAGAGCCUGGAACCUGCUUUGGAUUCUGUGUCUGCCUCUCUCUCUGCCCCUCCUCCGCUUGUGCUCUCUCAAAAAUAAAUAAAUAUUAAAAAAAAUUAAAGGUAGAAGAUAAAUGUUGGUCUGGGAUAUUUGUAGUAUCAAUACCCAUAAUUAAUACAGAGUUCCCAGAAAGAAGAAAAAAAAAGGGGAAAGUAUAUAAAUUCACCAAAGUACAAAUGGUCCAUAAACAUAAAAAUAUGUGUAAGCUUCAUGAGGGAAAUGUCAACAAACUAAACAUAGUAUCAGAUCUGCCAACCUUAAAAAGAUCAUUAAAAAUCACUGGCAAUGAAGGGGAAAAAGCUUUCAUGUAAUUGAGCAGCUAUAUGUAUUUUUCAGAGAGCAAUCUGUUGCUACCAGAUUUUUAGCUUCUAUCUUGGUUGAUUCUAAAAUUCUAUUUUAAGAAAUCCUACCUGCAAAAACAAAAACAAAAAACACCCCAACUUGAAUAUGCAACAACAACAAAAAAUAUGCAAUAAUGUUUUUUGCAACAACCUGAAAGACUAUCAAGAGGAAACAUCAAAUGUGGACUACAUAGCAUCUGUUAAAAUGGAUACAACAGGCCUGUUUGUAUCCAGUAGAACACCCCCAAGUCAUAAACAUAUUCAUAUACACACAUGAAAACAUCUAUAAAAAAAAGUCUGGCCAGAUGCACCAGUUACUGGUGAUCACAUGAAGGAAGAGUAGUAGAGCAGAGGAGCCCCUAACAGUCAACUGGCCACUGGUAACAAAUUCUCAUUAAACCAAGUAGUAUGCCCCUGACUCAGACCAGAGGAAGAAACAGUCUGAUUCAGCAUGUCUGAGCUAGUCAUCACAGCACCCCAUCUGGGGGUUUCCCCUGUCACCUUGUUUUCUAAGACACCAGUCCCUGACUAACCAGCCCAUUCCCUGCCAGGACUCCCAUGGGCCUGGGUCUCACCUGAAAAGGUGUCUUGAGGAAUUCCUCUCUCCACCGACCAGAGCGCUUCCUCCUCCUCUAACUGAGAUACCACAUCUGGCUUGGAAAGCUGAUGUUCUGCCCAAGGGAAAAGAGACAGGGCUUGGGGGUCUGUGUUCAGGAGAAAAUGCAUUCCUCCUGUGGCACAUGCUGUCCCUGAAUUCUUCCCUGCAAGGGCAUGACUUCUGGUCUACAGCAGUGAUGAUAAUGAAAUCCAUCCCCUUUGUCAGUUACUUGCCUUCCUGGACUCCCUUGCCAAUAAAAGUGGCAGUGGGACCCCAGUUCUGGCCAGCAAGACACAAAGGGAGAUCUGUCAGCUGGAGACGUUAGGGCCUUUUUUUUUUUCCUUGCUAAAUAAUGGCAGGUGUGAGAAGAGAACUAGCCAGGACUGCCCCUUCACUUUCUUUCUGCCCUGAACAUGGAUAUGAUGUUGGGUGCCUCAGCCAUGCAGACACUAACAUAAGCGUGGAAAAGUUCACACUAAGCACAGGGAAAUGGAAGGGAUCAGUCUUCAAUGAUACUUCUGAUCUGUUGGGACACUGACCCCACAUCCUCUGGAAUUGUUACAAAAAUGAACAUCUACUACUGUAGCUGGAAACAUUCCUGAUAGACCUACCUCCCUAGCAACUCAAGGCCUCUGAGGGAUGGACUAGGCAGCUUUAGAAGUCAUGUGAAGAUGCCCUUUCCCUACAGGUACAAAGUAAAGCCCUCUCCCUCAGACUCCAGGACCUUGACAAUUGCACUCUGAUCCCUGCAGCCUGAGCCAAAGCAGACACACACUUCAGAGGCACCACAUUCGUGCUGCAAAGCGCAGAUCUUUAUUGACAUGGAGGCCAUCCUUACCCACUGAGACCAGGUUCCUGUAGUUCUCCAACAUCACCUCCCUGUACAGGGAC